UACGAAGGGGGCGAGCGUUGUUCGGAAUUACUGGGCGUAAAGGGCGCGUAGGCGGUUGGAUAAGUCAGCUGUGAAAACCACGGGCUUAACUCGUGGCCUGCAGUUGAGACUGUCUGGCUUGAGUGUGGGAGAGGAGAGUGGAAUUCCUGGUGUAGCGGUGAAAUGCGUAGAUAUCGGGAGGAGCACCGGUGGCGAAGGCGGCGACCUGGGACAAUACUGACGCUGAGG
rnacentral:rRNA from 1 species